rnacentral:rRNA from 1 species
UACGUAGGGUGCAAGCGUUGUCCGGAAUUAUUGGGCGUAAAGAGCUCGUAGGCGGUUUGUCGCGUCUGCUGUGAAAACUCGGGGCUCAACCCCGAGCCUGCAGUCGAUACGGGCAGACUAGAGUGCUGUAGGGGAGACUGGAAUUCCCGGUGUAGAGGUGAAAUUCGUAGAUAUCGGGAGGAACACCAGUGGCGAAGGCGGCGAUCUGGGAAGAUACUGACGCUGAGGUGCGAAAGCGUGGGGAGCAAACAGG